AACGAACGCUGGCGGCAUGCCUAACACAUGCAAGUCGAACGAGACCUUCGGGUCUAGUGGCGCACGGGUGCGUAACGCGUGGGAACCUGCCCUUAGGUUCGGAAUAACUCCCCGAAAGGGGUGCUAAUACCGGAUAAUGUCUUCGGACCAAAGAUUUAUCGCCUUUGGAUGGGCCCGCGUUGGAUUAGCUAGUUGGUAGGGUAAUAGCCUACCAAGGCGACGAUCCAUAGCUGGUCUGAGAGGAUGAUCAGCCACACUGGGACUGCGACACGGCCCAGACUCCUACGGGAGGGAGCAGUGGAGAAUAUUGGACAAUGAGCGAAAGCGUGAUACAGCAAUGCCGCGUGAGUGAUGAAGGCCUUAGGGUUGUAAAGCUCUUUUACCCGAGAUGAUAAUGACAGUACCGGGAGAAUAAGCUCCGGCUAACUCCGUG
rnacentral:rRNA from 1 species